GUCCAGACUCCUACGGGAGGCAGCAGUGGGGAAUAUUGCACAAUGGGGGAAACCCUGAUGCAGCGACGCCGCGUGAAGGACGAAGUAUUUCGGUACGUAAACUUCUAUCAGCAGGGAAGAAAAUGACGGUACCUGACCAAGAAGCCCCGGCUAACUACGUGCCAGCAGCCGCGGUAAUACGUAGGGGGCAAGCGUUAUCCGGAUUUACUGGGUGUAAAGGGAGCGUAGACGGCCAUGCAAGUCUGAUGUGAAAACCCGGGGCUCAACCCCGGGACUGCAUUGGAAACUGUGCGGCUGGAGUGUCAGAGAGGCAAGUGGAAUUCCUAGUGUAGCGGUGAAAUGCGUAGAUAUUAGGAGGAACACCGGUGGCGAAGGCGGCCUGCUGGACAGUAACUGACGUUGAGGCUCGAAAGCGUGGGGAGCAAACAGGAUUAGAUACCCCCGUAACA
rnacentral:rRNA from 1 species